UACGGAGGGGGCUAGCGUUGUUCGGAAUUACUGGGCGUAAAGCGCGCGUAGGCGGUGCGUCAAGUCAGGGGUGAAAGGCCUGGGCUCAACCUGGGAACGGCCCUUGAGACUGGCGCGCUUGAGACCGGGAGAGGGUGGCGGAAUUCCCAGUGUAGAGGUGAAAUUCGUAGAUAUUGGGAAGAACACCGGUGGCGAAGGCGGCCACCUGGUCCGGAUCUGACGCUGAGGCGCGAAAGCGUGGGGAGCAAACAGG
rnacentral:misc_RNA from 1 species